AAUCCACAAAGUAUGUCAGUAGAACAA
rnacentral:piRNA from 1 species